ACCCUGGGAAACAGUGUGGCUAUGACUUGGAGCUGCUCACCAGUUCCAGUCAUUCUGUGGUUGAGAGCUGCUCCCUAUGGAUGUUAAUUCUUCUCUAUUUUAGAUUUUCCACAGGUGUGGGCCCCAUUAGCUCUGGCCACCUGAGAAAGCCCUCAGGCAAAGAGUCGCAGGUGAAAGCCAGCAGUUAGAGGUUCACAGAAAUGAGUGCAGAAGCAUCUUCAGUUGGAGAGCCAUUGCCUCUUGCUGUGAAAUAUUUGGGAAUCUUCAGAAACCAUGAAGAAUAACCUGCUAAAGAUUUUCUUGUAUUGGACAAUUAAUAUAAUUCAUAUACGGUACGGGGGAAAUUUUUGGCUCCCAAGUGAAUGGGAAUGAGGAAGAGAAAGAGAGUGGAAGAACAUUUGUUUUACUGAGGGAAGUUGGGGAAAAGCCAAUGAAAUAGAGACAGCAAGAGAGAGAAAAGAAGGGAGGAAGGAAGGAGAAUUGCUUGAAGUGGAUAACAGAACUGUGAGCAAAGAAAGAAUAGGAAGUGUGAGUACAGCCUGGAGACAGACUGAGGAGACCAUAGACAUCUUCCAUUUGUUUGUAUCUUUUUAAAUUCUUUCAGAAACGUUUUGUGGUUUGCAGUGUCUGAGUGUUUUGUCUUCUUGGUUAAUUUCUUGGUGGUUUUAUAUAUAUGUAUAUAUAUAUAUAUUUGUUGAUGAUUGUUUUCUUAAUCUCUUGGUUAAUUUCUUAGUGGUUUUAUAUAUAUAUAUAUAGUUGUUAAUGUUAUUGUUUUCUUAAUCUCAAUCACAUUGUUGGUGUGUUGAAAUACAAUUUUUUCAUGUUGAUUUUGUAUCUUGCAACUUUGCUAAAUUCAUGUAUUAGUUCAAACAGUUUGUGUAUGUGUAAUCUUUGGAAUUUUCUGCACAUGAGAUCCUGUUGUCUGUGAACUGAGAUAGUUUUGUUUCUUUCUUGUCCAUUUGGAUGCCUUUUGUUUAUUUUCCUUGCCUGGUUCCUCUGGCUGGAUCUUUCAAUGCUAUGUCAAGCUACUUCAAGCUUUUCAAAUUUCACCAUUGAGUAUAAUGGUGCUGUGGAUUAUUCAUAUAUGGCCUUUAUUAUGUUCAGAUUGUUUCCUUCUAUUCCUGGUUUGUCAUGGGUUUUUGUCAUGAAUUGAUCUUGAAUUUUGUCUAAUGCUUUUUCUGCAUCAAAUAAUACGAUUGUGGUUUUUCCAUCAUUCUACAAGUGUGAUGUAUUACACUGUUUGUUGUAAUAUGUUGUUUAUUUCACAUUGUUUGUGUUACACUAAUUGUUGUAAUCAACAAAUGUUGACUCA
rnacentral:lncRNA from 1 species